rnacentral:rRNA from 1 species
UUCCUACGGGGGGCAGCAGUCGGGAAUAUUGCGCAAUGGAGGAAACUCUGACGCAGUGACGCCGCGUAUAGGAAGAAGGUUUUCGGAUUGUAAACUAUUGUCGUUAGGGAAGAUAAAAGACUGUACCUAAGGAGGAAGCCCCGGCUAACUAUGUGCCAGCAGCCGCGGUAAUACGUAGGGGGCAAGCGUUAUCCGGAAUUACUGGGUGUAAAGGGAGCGUAGACGGUGAUGCAAGUCUGGAGUGAAAGGCGGGGGCCCAACCCCCGGACUGCUCUGGAAACUGUGUAACUUGAGUGCAGGAGAGG